GGAAUAUUGGUCAAUGGACGCAAGUCUGAACCAGCCAUGCCGCGUGAAGGAUGAAGGUCCUCUGGAUUGUAAACUUCUUUUAUUUGGGAAGAAAUCCAUUUUUUCUAAAGUGGUUGACGGUACCAGAUGAAUAAGCACCGGCUAACUCCGUGCCAGCAGCCGCGGUAAUACGGAGGGUGCAAGUGUUAUCCGGAUUCACUGGGUUUAAAGGGUGCGUAGGUGGGCAGGUAAGUCAGUGGUGAAAUCUCCGGGCUCAACCCGGAAACUGCCAUUGAUACUAUCUGUCUUGAAUAUCGUGGAGGUGAGCGGAAUAUGUCAUGUAGCGGUGAAAUGCUUAGAUAUGACAUAGAACACCAAUUGCGAAGGCAGCUCACUACGCGAAUAUUGACACUGAGGCACGAAAGCGUGGGGAUCAA
rnacentral:rRNA from 1 species